rnacentral:rRNA from 1 species
AGAGUUUGAUCCUGGCUCAGAACGAACGCUGGCGGCAGGCUUAACACAUGCAAGUCGAACGCCCCCUCCUUCAAGCCCGCUUGAAGGAGAUCCUAACAGGAUCAAGUCCGCUCAGGCGGGCUCGAUGGAGGGGGAGUGGCAGACGGGUGAGUAACGCGUGGGAACGUGCCCUUUGGUUCGGAAUAUUCCCGGGAAACUGGGAGCAAUACCGGAUAAGCCCUUCGGGGGAAAGAUUUAUCGCCAAAGGAUCGGCCCGCGUCAGAUUAGCUAGUUGGUGGGGUAAUGGCCUACCAAGGCUACGAUCUGUAGCUGGUCUGAGAGGAUGAUCAGCCACACUGGGACUGAGACACGGCCCAGACUCCUACGGGAGGCAGCAGUGGGGAAUCUUGGACAAUGGGGGAAACCCUGAUCCAGCCAUGCCGCGUGGAUGAUGAAGGCCUUAGGGUUGUAAAAUCCUUUCGUCGGGGACGAUAAUGACGGUACCCGAAGAAGAAGCUCCGGCUAACUUCGUGCCAGCAGCCGCGGUAAUACGAAGGGGGCUAGCGUUGUUCGGAAUUACUGGGCGUAAAGCGCGUGUAGGCGGGCCGUUAAGUCGGGGGUGAAAGCCCAGAGCUCAACUCUGGAAUUGCCUUCGAUACUGGCGGCCUGGAGCAUGAUAGGGGCGAGUGGAAUUGCGAGUGUAGAGGUGAAAUUCGUAGAUAUUCGCAGGAACACCUGUGGCGAAGGCGACUCGCUGGAUCAUUGCUGACGCUGAGACGCGAAAGCGUGGGUAGCAAACAGGAUUAGAUACCCUGGUAGUCC